rnacentral:rRNA from 1 species
CCCUGGUAGACCACCAGGUUGAUAGGGCGCAGGUGCAAGCGGGGCGACCCGCUCAGCCGAGCGCUACUAAUCGCCCGAGCUCUUCCUUAU